rfam:Sus scrofa isolate TJ Tabasco breed Duroc chromosome 14, whole genome shotgun sequence.
UCCCUGGUGGUCUAGUGGUUAGGAUUCAGCACUUUUACUGCUGCAGCCGAGGUUCAGUCCCUGAUUUGGGAA